rnacentral:rRNA from 1 species
GACGAACGCUGGCGGCGUGCUUAACACAUGCAAGUCGAACGGAAAGGCCCUGCUUUUGUGGGGUUCUCGAGUGGCGAACGGGUGAGUAACACGUGAGUAACCUGCCCUUGAGUUGGGGAUAACUUCAGGAAACUGGGGCUAAUACCUGAUAGGAGCUCCUGCUGCAUGGUGGUGGUUGGAAAUUUUCGGCGGUUGGGGAUGGACUCGCGGCUUAUCAGCUUGUUGGUGGGGUAGUGGCUUACCAAGGCUUUGACGGGUAGCCGGCAUGGGAGGGUGACCGGCGACAUGGGGACUGAGAUACGCCCCAGACUCCUACGGGAGGCAGCAGUGGGGAAUAUUGCACAAUGGGCGGAAGCCUGAUGCAGAAACGCCGCGUGCGGGAUGAAGGCCUUCGGGUGGUAAACCGCUUUCGCCUGUGACGAAGCGUGAGUGACGGUAAUGGGUAAAGAAGCACCGGCUAACUACGUG